ACCACUGGCCCGAAGAUGCGAAAGUGUCUGCCGCCAGACCCCCAUUGAAUGUGCCAGAGUGUCUCCACAUUUUACCGGCGAUGCUAAGACAGACAUGGCACAGAGAUGUAUGGAUAACCUGCAGAUGCAUUUGCAACUAUAUAUUCAACGAAAUCACAAAGACUACAAAGGCGGAAGCGCGCAAGUGUUCAGGAUUUAUGCAGAUCCCAAACACAGAUCAGCGGGUACCAAAAGAGCAGAAGGCGUCUCCAAGGUGUUGUCCAGUUUGUGACCAAUGCAAAUUCACAAAAGUCUCAGUGCCCAGAUUCGGAGCUCUCAAGGUUGGCAGGAUAACCACUCACAGAGAUCAUGGGAGGCACCACUGAACACCUGGCGGGUUUUACAGAAGACCGAGAAGUGAUCACACCUGCAACUGCAUGGAUCAUGUUAGGGGAUUGGCCACAUAUGUGGUCCUCUCCAAGGUUUCUCAUAGUCAUCAUGGUCGACGUCCCACUGGGGUGAGUUUUUCCUUGCCCUUAUGUGGGCGCUACCGAGGAUGUCGUUGUGGUUUGUGCAGCCCUUUGAGGCACUUGUGAUUUAGAGCUAUGUAAAUAAACAUUGAUUGAUUGAUUGAUUGACCGACCAAAGAGCAUAAAACAAAUAAAAUAAUAGAACGUAAAAUCGACAGAUUUAUCUGAAGUUGAUCUUGUAACUUAAGUGUUGAAAUUAAAAAAAAACCUAAUAAAAAUGUAUAAUUUUCUGAGUGGGGAACCUUUUGGAUCCCAAAUAUAUUUAGAUGUAUUUUAUUCAUCUUUUCACUGUGAUUACUCAAAUAUAAUAAAUAAUUUAAAAUCAAUGGUGGCAAUUAUUAUUUAUAUUUUAGGGCUCUAAUGACUAAAUACUGCAUAUUUCAGUUUUACUAUAAAAAACAAAAGUUAUUUUUAAAAUAAAAGCCAUAAAACCUUUUUUUUUAUAGUUGAUAUUGAGAUUUACUGUAAGCGUUAAAUAAGAAAUAACAGUAAAACUUAUUUGACUUAUUUUUAACAUUUUAAUAACUGAGGCCCUUUAAGGUCCCUGUAGGUAAAAUAUAUAUUUUUUUUAAAUCCAUAAAUUUUGUUAAGGUUUUAAAAUAAAAAAAAUUAAAAAUCCAUAUAUUUUGUUAAGGUUUGAAAAUAAUAAAAUAUCAAAAUAGCCCCCACAUGCUUUAAUUUUUCCGUGUGCGGCCCUCAGUGGAAAAAGUUUGGACACCCCUGACUUAGACAAACGCAUCUAUACUUUUGACCAUUUUGAGACGGAAAUUUCCAGGAGUGAUCUCACCCUCAGAGAAGCCUCCAUUUUACUAAUGUUUUCCAAUGUUAUAAAAAUUUGUAGAAUAAAUAUUACAUUUCAACAUUUCUAUCAUUAAAGAUUUGCAUCAGCCUGUGAAACAUAGUCAGUUUGAUAGUUAAUAUCUAAUUUAAGCACAUACAACAUGGUACCUUCACCAUAAGUAUUAUAUAAGGCUUUUAAUGUUUUGCGGCUCCAGAAUAUUUUUUGGUGUAUAUUUUUUGGUCCAAUAUGGCUCUUUCAACAUUUUAGGUUGCCGACCCCUGUCCUAAACCCAAAAUCUUGUCAAAUUCGUUGGGGCCAGUUAAACAGUUCCAAUGUUGAUUUGGAGAGCCGUGCAAAAGGAGGCAACAAAAAAGUUAAAGGCCUACUGAAAGCCACUACUAGCGACCACGCAGUCUGAUAGUUUAUAUUGUAGAGGACAUUUUGUUCCAGCACCGUUCCCAGCUAUAAGUCGUCUCUAUUCUUCGCAUAAUUCAACAGUAUUCUGGACAUCUGUGUUACUGAAUCUUUUACAAUUUGUU